AGAAGAGGCUGUGCUGCCAGCAGGCAGUGCUUUGAGCUCUAAUGGAUGAACAUUGCUAACCAGCGAAGGUGGAGAGAGGGCACCCGUCUGAGAAGAUGAAGAGGCAGCAAAGCACAGCUGGCCUCGGGGAACCGGAAGCCACAGGGACAUCAGGCUGUGUGCUGCUGUCUGCCGGCCACCAGCUAUAGAUCUGGACUCCAUCCUUUGCAAUGUGUGGGGUUCUAGGAAGAGGCCAGCCAGCCGGGGAAGUGUACUGGGCUCUGUCCCAGAGACGACGAACUUGGCUCCCCACGAGGGCGGCCUGUUCCCCACAGUGUCCCCCGGGGGCCACACCUGCACCCACCUUGCUGAAGAUAAUUCUAGGAAAUCAAAGGUAAGGACUCUGACCACAAACCCAAGAAGCAAAACCCGAGACUCACGGAACGACGCUACCAUCGCAGUUCCCAGCUUGACUAGUUGUUUUUCUUUUCUGGUCUGUUCUUCUCUUUUGGUUUAAAUAAUUAAAGAUCCUUGUUGACAGGUAAAAAAAAUUCUUUAUGAAGCUAAAAAAAGUGGUUCUAAUUAAACAUUUAAACAUUCUUCCAUAUACUUUUAAAAACAGUUGUAAUUAUAGCUCUACUUAAUGUUAAGUACUUUAACUAAAUGAAAGGUUAAUUAUACAGACUGGCAAUUAUAAAAAAUAAGGUAACAUAUUCAUGGCACCAUGAAUAAUUAAUAAGAACUCUUCGAUUUCAUUCAGACCAGGGAUUCUGUGCUAAUAUGCUCUCAGCUGUCUUGAAAUAAUGGUGAAAUUUUAAAAUUAGUUUUGUACUUAAACAUGUCCCCAAAGCGAAGCACAGCGGCCAACGUCCGUCGUGGUGCUGAGCAGUGCCAGCCGCUCUACCGUGGCUGACGCCCUGAUUCCCAAGGGCUGUCCCUGGGCCAUGCUAGUGCAGUGAAUGUUCAGGAAACAGACCAGGUGGGAGGAGGGGUUCUUGUCCUCAAGGAACCUCAUAAGUCUUGCUAGGGGGACAAACAACGAGAGAAUGAAACUGGCAGCCACAGAAUUCGGGCCGUGAUGCCCAGGCCUCACCAUGCAUACCUGCUGGCCGGCAUCUCCCUGAGACCCGUCUGGCACAGGCAACGGCAGGGCCUGGCCCUUGGAGCACAGGGAUGGCAGAGCAGGGUCAUCGAAGCAGGUGGCGUGCAGACAGUGGCUUCUCCGCAAGAGCUCCUGGCUCUCAGGGAGCUGAGGGCUCCUCAAUGGGGAAUUCUGGCUGAGCUCCAGGGGAAAGCGGGUUGGAGGCCUGGCUCCUCCGCCCCCAUCUCCUCUGCCCCAACCCUGGAAGGGGGUCAGAUAUCAAUGCUAACAUUUGUGCUGACUCAAUUAAUUCAAACGAUUCACAAAAACAAACUUGCUUAAAGUAUUAAUUUCCUAAAAAGAAC
rnacentral:lncRNA from 1 species